AAAAGCCACCCUCUUCGGGUGGCACUCGGAGUGGCCCUCGUCACGCUUUCGCGCAUAGCGGAGGUU
rnacentral:rRNA from 1 species